rnacentral:rRNA from 1 species
AUCGAACGCUGGCGGCAGGCCUAACACAUGCAAGUCGAACGAGUGGAGGACGGGCGAGUAAUGCAUGGGAACCUAGCUAAUGGAGGGGGCUAACUACGGGAAACCGUAGCUAAUACCGCGUACCAUAGGAUGAGCCCAAGUGGGAUUAGGUAGUUGGUGAGGUAAAGGCUCACCAAGCCGACGAUCUCUAGCUGGUCUGAGAGGAUGACCGGCCACACUGGGACUGAGACACGGCCCAGACUCCUACGGGAGGCAGCAGUGGGGAAUAUUGGGCAAUGGGGGCAACCUGACGCAGCCAUGCCGCGUGAGUGAAGAAGGCCUUCGGGUUGUAAAGUUCUUUCGGUAGCGAGGCGUUAACUACAGAAGAAGCACCGGCUAACUCCGUGCCAGCAGCCGCGGUAAUUC